rnacentral:rRNA from 1 species
CAGCAGCCGCGGGAAUACGGAGGGUGCAAGCGUUAUCCGGAUUUAUUGGGUUUAAAGGGUCCGUAGGCGGAUCUGUAAGUCAGUGGUGAAAUCUCACAGCUUAACUGUGAAACUGCCAUUGAUACUGCAGGUCUUGAGUAAAUUUGAAGUGGCUGGAAUAAGUAGUGUAGCGGUAAAAUGCAUAGAUAUUACUUAGAACACCAAUUGCGAAGGCAGGUCACUAAGAUUUAACUGACGCUGAUGGACGAAAGCGUGGGGAGCGAACAGGAUUAGAUACCCCGGUAGUCCCUGUCUCUUAUAA